ACUAUAAAAAGGCAAAGUCAUUGAAAGGUGGCGGCGCAAAGCUUAGGGGCUAAGGUAGUAUUUUCUGCUAUGCCAGCCAGUUGCCGGU
rnacentral:ncRNA from 1 species